GCUUCUUCGCGCCUCCCGGCCCCGGCCUGGCGUCCGUGGGGCGCUGUGCGUCUCCGAGAACGAAGCGGCCUCCGGGUUCGUGUGCUCCGAGCCCGAGUACUGUUUGCGGCCGUCGUCCCGUCCUGGAGCAGGAGUGAGGAAGCGCCUCUCACUCCCCCGCGAACCCGCAGAACAGGCCGCCGGCGCUAUGGAGACCGGCGGAGCUUCCCGCUCCUUCACCAAGGGGCCCUGACGCGCAGUUGAAAGCGCGGAUUUUGCCGGGCGCGGCGGCUGCGUCCGGAGUCCCAGCGCCUUGGGAGGCGAGGCGGGAGGAUCCCCACGGCCCGGGAGCUCGAGACCAGCCCGGGCAAAUAUUUUGAAAGUCAUGGUGGACGCUGUGGAUUAGCGGAGAGGGAAGGCACUUUCGUUCUCGGCACCGUGAGGCUGUCCUGGUCAAUCCUGUUUUCAUGCUUGAGGGUCUCUGGUGCAGCAGCUCCACCAGCCUUGACACCAGGACUUCUGUGGAAUCCAGGUAAGCAGCCAGGGUCCUGAUAGGGCCAUGCCCUCACCCCCAUGUAAUGCAUCCACUCCCAGUUAAAUGAGAAAGGAACAAUCACAGGAAAACAUGGAGAACAACUCCACUGUUCAGAAGCCAACCCUAUAUUAGCUACUGUUUAGGUAGAAAUGAAAAACUUUGAGACGUAAACUCCUGCAGGUAGAAGUAGAUUUCCGGUGAAUGAACAAAAUGAAGCUUAUUAGAAUCAAUGGCCUCUUCUGAGAGCCGUUCUGAAUUUUUUUUUUUUUGAGACGGAGUCUUGCUAUGUCGCCCAGGCUGGAGUGCAGUGGCGCGAUCUCGG
rnacentral:lncRNA from 1 species